GGAGUAGGAGACUUCGUCUGUCUCGUCGACCGGAGACCAGAGGCGGAGGUGUCGUUGGCCAGAGGCGGAGGCGUCGUCGGCCGAAGGCUAAGGUUUCGUAUAAACAACUCUAAGUAAUAGGGCUGGAGAAUUUUAUUCAUCGUUGAAGAAAGUCAAAAUCUCUAUUUCUUACGUACCUGCGAACAUCCGUCUAAGUUUUAAAAUAAACGUAAUGAACAACUUUUUAAUUUUUUNAGUAUUUUUACUCAUAACAAUCUCCUAUUGAAUUUAAUUGCCUCAUGGUAUUUUCUUCCCUUGUACUCGACAUGGAAUAUAUCAAAGCAUUAGUAUAGUAACAUGACUUGGAUAAGAUUAAAUACGAAAUUUUAGUGUUUUUUUUCUAACUGCUGUGAUUUCUUUUCUUCAUUCAACAAACUGCUUUUUUUUAUCUGAAAACCGAUAACAAACCUAAAAUAAUAAAAAAUAAAAAUAAAAAUAAAAAAAAGUCACUUGUGUUACCCCACAAUUCUUCUUACAUGAAACAAAUCAUAAAAAAUAAAAAUUAGGAUGAAAAUACAAAAAAGGAUAAAAUACAGAAAAUAGUCAAGUGACUGAACAAGAACUGCUACAAUUAUUAUUAUUAAAAAUUGAGGGGUAAUAUUGACCUUUUGGCACAGUUAGUCUACAAAACUGCAGCUUUCUAAAGGAUGAGGGUAAAAUGGGAAUUCGAUUAUUGCUUGAACUGGUUACCUAAACCUUGGGUAAUUCCUAAGCUCUGUCCAAGAUCGCCCAUUCGUGCUUUCAUGGCCUAUAAAGGGGCAAAAUGGUCAAAUUAAAAAUAUAUUACCCCAAGGGUAAAACUGUACUUUUAUAUCAUCAUACAAACUUGGACACUUUUUUGAUGCACAUCUCUAUAUGCUUCUGUUAUGUACCUCUCUUUUGUUAUGUACCUCUCUUUUCUUUUUUAUGAGAGGAAUUGAAUAGUCAUUCCAUUCGCCUAUCAAUUCCAUUCCUUUGUGAAUAAUGGUUUUGUGAAUAAUCAGUCAUUUUGUGUUUCUGGACAAUGCAAAUGGAUUCCACUCAGCAGUGUUAAUUUUAAUUUUCUAGUCAUUUGAUUUUCAAGUUUUUACAUUUACAAUAUAAGCUUUUUAUACUUUAGACAUUCAAUUGUUUAAUUAUUUAAGUCACCAAUCAUAAAUAAAAAAUAAAUAAAUAAAUAAAAUAAAUAAAAAACAUCCGACUUUCCAUUUGUUGACUUUUUGACCGACUUUGACAGAGCCCAAUAUCAAAAUGAAGACCGAAGAGGAAUAUGUUGAAAUUUCUAUAGCCCUUGCUUGUUGUUUCUUUAUGUAUAGAUAACAACAUCUAACAGAAACAAAUAAUACAACACAUAUAAUAAGCAAAGCAAUUAACACAUCUAUCUAACAACUACAAAGCCAAUUACUGUUUGAGAAAAGAAUUGUUAUCCCAACAGUUUGUGAUGCUUAACUACUCCAUGACUCAAAAUUCUAUCAAUAAUUACUAUAAGAAUUUUUUGAGACUGCUGAUCAGGAAUCCUCAGAGGAAUAUAUGCCAAAAUGACCAUAUUGUCCUUUUUAAUUCUCUAAUCCUUCUUUGAUGUACCUGAAAGAAAGUGAGCAAACCAAAAUGAAUGAAANAAGUGAGCAAACCAAACCAUGAAUGAAAGGGCAUUUUGGUCAUUUGAUCAACACUCAACUCAAGACAUUUUUAAUGAAUCCAUUAGUGGCAUCACACUAGGAAAACUUUGCAUCUCCAUCAAAGCCAAAACGCUUCCUUGUCCUUCGUGAACAGUUGUAGUUCCUUUGUAUUUGUAUUUCUGCUCUUGUUUUUCUGUUGCGAAAACAGAAAUCAAAUCUCUUACCUUUAAAUUUGAACCGCUACCUGUGUUUGUCUAUUGCAAAAACAGAAAUCAAAGCUCUUACCCUUUAAAUUUGAACCGCAGGUCCAGUGGUGGGAUUUUCAGGUUGGUUGAAUUAUUGGAGGUGCCAGGCGAGGCGAGGUUGGCCGAUGAUGAUGAUGUUGCGACAGGGGAGAUGGAGAUGAAGGACCGAUUAGUGUGGGAGGAGGAAGUUAAGUAUGUGAGGAGGAGGAGGCGUAUUCAAUUUAGGUAUUAGUCGUACUUAAUCAAAAUGGGGGCGUAUUUUUAGUUAUUUGAUUUUGUUUCUAGUAAAUCUCAUUAACCAUAUUAAAUGCUGCAGUUAACCGUAUUAGAUGCUGCAAUUGUAUGUAUUAUAUUUAUUUAUCCC
rnacentral:lncRNA from 1 species